GACGAGGGGUCCUAGCGUUGUUCGGAAUCACUGGGCGUAAAGCGUUUGUAGGCGGCCCUAUAAGUCGGGUGUGAAAUCCCAUGGCUCAACCAUGGAAGUGCAUUCGAAACUGUAGGGCUUGAAUAUGGAAGAGGAGAGUAGAAUUCCAGGUGUAGUGGUGAAAUACGUAGAUAUCUGGAGGAAUACCGGUGGCGAAGGCGGCUCUCUGGUCCAAUAUUGACGCUGAGAAACGAAAGUGCGGGGAUCAAACAGG
rnacentral:rRNA from 1 species